GGAAGUUCCUUCUGGUCAUUCACACAGUCACAAACACACAUUCACGCAGUCAUACCUGGGAAUCGAAUUCAAGGUGUCGGCACACAAGGCAAGCACGUGCAUUCCCUCCACCAUCGGCGAGUCCCACGACGAUGGUUUAAGGACAGAAACAGAAGCUUACUUCAUUCUAUUCGGCUGCAUCAGAUAAACACGCAACUUGUGUGGUGACAAGUUAACCUUAGCUACACUACAACCCCAACGACGAAAGAGACCGCACAGUCGUUGCAGCGAGAAAAUGUUUGCAAGGACCACAGCAAAGUACGUGGAGGAAAAGGACCGUAGUCGUCAACGACCGGAAGCUCUUUGGCUGCAGCAUAUAGGAAUCCAAACUGACAUCAGUGAAGCUAUUGGUCCUAAGCAGGAGGAGCCAGAGCGCACUCGCAUUAAAGAGGAAGAUGUGGCCAAAGAGGUCCAGCACCUCAAUGAACAAAUGGAGCAGAAGUUUCUUUGCACCAUAAAAGAGGAGGAAGAUCCAGAGCGGCCUUGUAAUAAAGAGGAGAGAGAGGACUCCUGCGACAUUAAAAACGAGAGAGAAGACUCCUAUGACAUUAAAAAAGAAGAGGAGGAGGAUGCCUGCAAGAUACCAUUGACUGGUGUCCAUUUGAAUAGUUUAGAUGAGGGUCAACGUGAGGUGACCAAAGGGGCGGAGCCUUCAAGCUGCAGCUCAGGUCAACAAAUGACCAGAGAAGGUGAUGGAGACCACUGUGGGGGAUCACAAGCAGCUCCAUCAUCAGAUUGUGAUGACGUGUCGUCACAUGUUCCUGCUGCUGCUGUUCGUGCUGCUGCUGCUGCUGAUGAUGAGUCUCAAAACAAACACAGACAAUGUUCUCAGUGUGGAAUUUGUUUUGCUCAUAGCAGUAGUUUGAAACAACACACAAGAAUCCACACUGGGGAGAAACCUUUUUCAUGCUUAGAUUGUGGCCAAAAUUUCUCUCGGAUGGACAUUUUAAAAAUCCACACAAGAAUCCACACUGGCGAGAAACCUUUUUCAUGCUCAGUUUGUGGCCAAAAGUUCUCUCGGAAGGGAAGUUUAAAAAGGCACACGAGAAGCCACACUGGUGAGAAACCUUAUUCAUGCUCAGUUUGUGGCCAAAGAUUCUCUCAGAGGGGAACCUUAAAAGGUCAUACAAGAAUCCACACUGGUGAGAAACCUUUUUCAUGCUCAGUUUGUGGCCAACAAUUCUCUCACAGGAAAUCUUUAAAAACGCACACAAGAAUCCACACUGGCGAGAAACCUUUUUCAUGCUCAGUUUGUGGCCAACAAUUCUCUCACAGGAAAUCUUUAAAAACGCACACAAGAAUCCACACUGGCGAGAAACCUUUUUCAUGCUCAGUUUGUGGCCAAAGAUUCUCUGAGAAGGGAACCUUAAAAAGUCAUACAAGAAUCCACACUGGUGAGAAACCUUUUUCAUGCUCAGUUUGUGGCCUAAAGUUCGGUCACAAGGGAACCUUAGAAAUUCAUACACAAAUCCACACUGGCGAGAAACCUUUUUCAUGCUCAGUUUGUGGCCAAAGAUUCUCUGAGAAAAGAAACUUAAAAAGUCAUACAAGAAUCCACACUGGGGAGAAACCUUUUUCAUGCUCAGUUUGUGGCCAAAAAUUCUCUCACAGGGGAAGUUUAAAUACGCACACAAGAAUCCACACUGGCGAGAAACCUUUUUCAUGCUCAGUUUGUGGCCAAAAAUCCUCUCAUAGGGGAAGUUUAAAAACACACAGAAGAAUCCACACUGGUGAGAAACCUUUUUCAUGCUCAGUUUGUGGCCUAAAGUUCGGUCGUAAGGGAUACUUAGAAAUCCAUACAAGAAUCCACACUGGCGAGAAACCUUUUUCAUGCUCAGUUUGUGGCCAAAAGUUCCGUCAGAAGGGACACUUAAAUAAUCAUACAAGAAUCCACACUGGCGAGAAACCUUUUUCAUGCUCAGUUUGUAGCCAAAGUUUUUCAGCGAAGAAAAGCUUAAAAGGUCAUACAAGAAUCCACAUUGGCGAGAACCCUGUUGCCUGCUCAGUCACUUGCCAAAGAGUCUCUCAUGAGAAUUCCGAGUAUGUUGGGGAGAUUAGCAAUGAUCCGUGAAGUUUUCACCUUCUGUUUGUUCAUGGGUUUUUGCAUCGAUGUUAAAAUACCUAGUUAACUGGUCUCAGGAUUAUAAUAGUUUUGUAGUUUUCAUUAUACUUGAUGUUUACUUUGUGUUUAGUUGUGGAUUUUAACUGUAAUUAAUUUUAAUUCAUUACUUCACUGGUUCUUCUAUAUCAAACAAUUUAUUUGUACACUGACAGUGUCAGUGACACUCUGAUGAAGGCGGAAGAACCCGCCGAAACAUGUCAGGUAAAUAAACCUAAAAUAAAUUGUUUGAUAUAGAAGAACCAGUGAAGUAAUUGAAAAAGAACCUAGUACAACAAUUUUAAUUCAUAUUCAGGCCAAGUUGCUUAGUUUCUAUUCGUGUUUAAGGUUUUAGUUUUGUUCAGCUUUUCAUGUUCAUGCACAAUGCACAAUGAUUUAAACUCUCUGUUAGAAAAAUGUAUAUAUAUGUUAUCAUGCGUUCUCUAAUCAAUGCCUUACCGCCAUAUUACUGCAAUAUAUGCUUGCUGUUUGGCCUUGCUGUUUUUAUGAUGUACCACAGAAUGACAGUUUCUUUCUAACAAAGACCACUUUGUUAGACAACGUGCCUCAUUGCUGUCCUGCACCCCAGAUGAACCUCCAAGUGACCAUUAAAGUCAGGGUUUCCUAACUAUCUUGAUCGUAGGAUUAGGUUGGAAUAGGUCAAAGGUGCAGUCAUCCUGAAACCUGGAUCCAUUGUUGUUGCAAAGCCAUGGCCCUCUGGUAUGUAAGAGGGAAGUUCUCAUCAACGACUUCUUCAGGUUGUGGUUCAGCAGUAACGUUGCUGGCAGGUGUACUCGACUUUCCAGGACCACUGGAGCACCCCAGAGCAGUGCUCCUUUUCCUUGGAGUGUCCCUGAGGGCAGAACACAUGAUUGUGGUGUUUAAUGCACUAAUACAUCUUUCAAUUUAAAAACAUCAGAGUAUUUUGUCAGCGUGCAUAUAAAUAUAACAGCUCUCCUUACCAUUUCCGUCGCCCAGGAGACAUUGGUCCAGGAUUUGGUCGCUGUUCUGAAACUAUUAUCUGUAUAGGACAAUCUCCUGAAAGAGACAAGCAUGGUCAUGUAUUAUUUAUUUUUUCCUUACAUACCAAGACGCUAUGAGAUACUUACUCUGUAUAUUGAGUGAUUGGCUAAUAUCAUGGAAUUGCUGAGCCGUUGCAGUACCCGGAGGGGCUCUGAUUUGGGGAGAACUGUAGCUCACAGGGAUGGAGUGGCUGAGCGUACUCUGUGUGCUGAGUGCCGGGCUGCUGAUUAAGGAUGCUUCCGAAGAACAUACAAGACUGCUCGUUGAAGUCAUCGUCAAACCUCGUUGUUUCGCCAAGUUUGCCAGUCCAAUGCGUGAACGUGCUAUUAUGGAAAAAGACCAUUUACAUAACUGUUUAGUUUAGAUCUGAGCUUAAAAUUUGUUUAAAUAAUCAAUCACACCAUUCUUGGAUCAUUUUAGGAUGACAAACACAGGAUCUCAGCACAAUGGCUACUGGCAAUGGAACUUAUGAAAUACUUUAUGAGUGGUAGUGUGACAAGCAGCUAAAGCAACAGGAAUAACUAAACCUCCAUUACACAUACAAGAAAAUCUGAAUUGACACCAUUCAGUUAUUUUCAAUUACUAUUAGUACCAAAUUUAUUGUAUGACUGUUUUUUAAACAUUUGUAUGAUUAAGAGUGUUAGAGUGCAAUGUACCAAUCUGGCUUCUAAAUCCAAAGUUUGAUUUUAUUUAAUUUGAUCAUCUUAUUUUUUUCAUUUGAAUAACAGGUAAGAAUGAUACUUCCCCAGUAAAAUAAAUUCUGAGACAAAAGGUUUGAUGCUGGAACACAUCAUUUCAAUUUUUAUUGCAUCCUUUGGGAAAACUCCUUAGGAAGUGGAAAACGGAGGGGGUCUAGUGUUCUAAAAUAGAUUGUGUUCGAGAGUAUAUGCAAAGCGUCGAGAAAUUUCCAUUUUAUUUCUAGAUUCUCACCUCUCUGACUUGCUGCGAUAGCUGGGGAACUCUGUAA